CCUACGGGAGGCAGCAGUGGGGAAUAUUGCGCAAUGGGCGAAAGCCUGACGCAGCGACGCCGCGUGAGGGAUGAAGGUUCUCGGAUUGUUAACAUCCGUUAGUAGGGAAGUACGGUCACUGUGCUAAUCAGCAGUGAAUUGACGGUACCUGCAAAGGAAGCACCGGCUAACUCCGUCCCAGGAGCCGCGGUAAUACGGAGGGUGCGAGCGUUAAUCGGAUUGACUGGGCGUAAAGCGCUCGUAGGCGGUAUGUCAAGUCAAGGGUGAAAGCCCGGGGCUCAACGUGGGAACUGCCUUUGAAACUGGCAGACUGGAGUGUGUGAGAGGAUAGUGGAAUUCCAGGUGUAGCAGUGAAAUGCGUAGAUAUCUAGAGGAACAUCAGUGGCGAAGGCGGCUUUCUGGCACAUAACUGACGCUGAGGAACGAAAGCGUGGGGAGCAAACAGGAUUAGAUACCCGAGUAGUC
rnacentral:rRNA from 1 species